ensembl:lncRNA
AAGAUUUGGCAUGGGUCCCCAGAUCCUCAAAAAUGUCAACAGCUGCACCAUCGAGAGCAUCCUGACCGGUUGCAUCAGACUGUAAGACACUACAGAGGGUAGUGCGUACGUACGGCCCAGUACAUCACUGGGGCCAAGCUUCCUGACAUCCAGGACCUCUAUACUAGAGGAGAGAAGACGAGAGGAGAGAAGAGGAGGGGAGAGAAGAGGAGAGGAGAGAAGAGGAGGGGAGAGAAGAGGAGGGGGAGAAGAGGAGGGGAGAGAAGAGGAGAGGAGAGAAGAGGAGUGGAGAGAAGAGGAGAGGAGAGAAGAGGAGAGGGAAGAGGAGAGGAGAGAAGAGGAGAGGAGAGAAGAGGAGGGGAGAGAAGAGGAGGGGAAGAAGAGGAGGGGAGAGAAGAGGAGAUGAGAGAAGAGGAGUGGAGAGAAGAGGAGAGGAAAGAGGAGUGGAGAGAAGAGGAGAGGAGAGAAGAGGAGUGGAGAGAAGAGGAGGGGAGAGAAGAGGAGAGGAGAGAAGAGGAGAGGAGAGAAGAGGAGGGGAGAGAAGAGGAGAGGAAAGAGGAGAGGAGUGGAGAGAAGAGGAGAGGAGAGGAGAGAAGAGGAGGGGAGAGAAGAGGAGGGGGAGAAGAGGAGGGGGAGAAGAGGAGGUGAGAGAAGAGGAGAGGAGAGAAGAGGAGGGGAGAGAAGAGGAGGGGGAGAGAAGAGGAGGGGAGAGAAGAGGAGAGGAGGGAAGAGGAGAGAAGAGGAGGGGAGAGAAGAGGAGGGGGAGAAAAGGAGGGGAGAGAAGAGGAGAGGAGAGAAGAGGAGGGGAGAGAAGAGGAGAGGAGGGAAGGGGAGAGAAGAGGAGGGGAGAGAAGAGGAGAGAAGAGGAGGGGAGAGAAGAGGAGGGGGAGAAGAGGAGGGGGAGAAGAGGAGUGGAGAGAAGAGGGGGAGAGAAGAGGAGAGGAGGGAAGAGGAGAGGAGAGAAGAGGAGAGAGAGGAGAGGAGAGAAGAGGAGGGGGAGAAGAGGAGGGGAGAGAAGAGGAGAUGAGAGAAGAGGAGGGGGAGAAGAGGAGGGGAGAGAAGAGGAGGGGGAGAAGAGGAGUGGAGAGAAGAGGAGGGGAGAGAAGAGGAGAGGAAAGAGGAGAGGAGAGAAGAGGAGGGGGAGAAGAGGAGGGGAGAGAAGAGGAGUGGAGAGAAGAGGAGAGGAGAGAAGAGGAGGGGAGAGAAGAGGAGAGGAGAGAAGAGGAGGGGGGAGAAGAGGAGGGGAGAGAAGAGGAGAGGAGAGAAGAGGAGGGA